rnacentral:rRNA from 1 species
UACGUAGGGUGCAAGCGUUGUCCGGAAUUAUUGGGCGUAAAGAGCUCGUAGGCGGUUUGUCGCGUCGGCUGUGAAAACCUGGGGCUCAACCCCGGGCCUGCAGCCGAUACGGGCAAGCUAGAGUUCGGUAGGGGAGACUGGAAUUCCUGGUGUAGCGGUGGAAUGCGCAGAUAUCAGGAGGAACACCGAUGGCGAAGGCAGGUCACUGGGCCGCAACUGACGCUGAGGAGCGAAAGCAUGGGGAGCGAACAGG